GCCCGGAUAGCUCAGUCGGCAGAGCAUCAGACUUUUAAUCUGAGGGUGAACUUGUUUAAAAUCCUUUUGCA
rnacentral:tRNA from 1 species